rnacentral:rRNA from 1 species
UGCUUUCCUUGAUGACACUGGCGCACGGGUGAUAACGCGUAUCCAACCUUCCCAUAACUACGGGAUAACCCGUUGAAAGACGGCCUAAUACCGUAUGACAUCGUUUGCUGACAUCAAAUAACGAUUAAAGGUUUAGCGGUUAUGGAUGGGGAUGCGUCUGAUUAGCUUGUUGGCGGGGUAACGGCCCACCAAGGCGACGAUCAGUAGGGGUUCUGAGAGGAAGGUCCCCCACAUUGGAACUGAGACACGGUCCAAACUCCUACGGGAGGCAGCAGUGAGGAAUAUUGGUCAAUGGGCGAGAGCCUGAACCAGCCAAGUAGCGUGCAGGAAGACGGCCCUAUGGGUUGUAAACUGCUUUUAUGUGGGGAUAAAGUGCGUUUGACGUGUCAUGCAUUGCAGGUACCACAUGAAUAAGGACCGG